CCUACGGGUGGCAGCAGUGGGGAAUAUUGCACAAUGGGGGAAACUCUGAUGCAGCGAUGCCGCGUGAGUGAAGAAGUAUUUCGGUAUGUAAAGCUCUGUCAGCAGGGAAGAAAAUGACGGUACCUGACUAAGAAGCCACGGCUAACUACGUGCCAGCAGCCGCGGUAAUACGGAGGGGGCAAGCGUUAUCCGGAUUUACUGGGUGUAAAGGGAGCGUAGGCGGCAGGGCAAGUCUGGAGUGAAAGGCGGGGGCUCAACCCCCGGACUGCUCUGGAAACUGCCAGGCUGGAGUGAAGGAGGGGUAAGUGGAAUGGAUGGUGUAGCGGUGAAAUGCGUAGAUAUUAGGAGGAACACCAGUGGCGAAGGCGGCUUACUGGACUGUAACUGACGUUGAGGCACGAAAGCGUGGGGAGCAAACAGGAUUAGAUACCCUAGUAGUC
rnacentral:rRNA from 1 species